ACAGCACACUAUUAAAGCCCAGGUGGAGGCUAGUCUUGGCCAGCCAGUGAACUUCUGGGUGUCGGAAGUGUGCUACAUUAAUGGCAGGAUUUUCGCUAACACCAGUGGAGCCUGCCUCUGUGACUGGAGUUUGCUACUGUUCACUGCCACAUCU
ensembl:snoRNA SNORA62 Small nucleolar RNA SNORA62/SNORA6 family